UACAGAGGGGGCAAGCGUUGUUCGGAAUUACUGGGCGUAAAGGGCGCGUAGGCGGCCUGCUAAGUCGAACGUGAAAUCCCUGGGCUCAACCCAGGAACUGCGUCCGAUACUGGUUGGCUUGAAUCCGGGAGAGGGAUGUGGAAUUCCAGGUGUAGCGGUGAAAUGCGUAGAUAUCUGGAGGAACAUCGGUGGCGAAGGCGACAUCCUGGACCGGUAUUGACGCUGAGGCGCGAAAGCCAGGGGAGCAAACGGG
rnacentral:rRNA from 1 species